GCAGCCGCGGUAAUUCCAGCUCCAAUAGCGUAUAUUAAAGUUGUUGCAGUUAAAAAGCUCGUAGUUGAAUUUCGGGAUCAAUAUGUCGGUCGUGCCUCCGGUACGUACUGGCGUUAUUGGUUUCUCCCUUCUGACGAACCACGAUGUCAUUAAUUUGGUGUCAUGGGGAAUCAGGACUGUUACUUUGAAAAAAUUAGAGUGUUUAAAGCAGGCUCACGCUUGAAUACAUUAGCAUGGAAUAAUGAAAUAGGACGUUUGAUUCUAUUUUGUUGGUUUCUAGGAUCGACGUAAUGAUUAAUAGGGAUAGUUGGGGGCAUUAGUAUUCAAUUGUCAGAGGUGAAAUUCUUGGAUUUAUUGAAGACUAACUACUGCGAAAGCAUUUGCCAAGGAUGUUUUCAUUAAUCAAGAACGAAAGUUAGGGGAUCGAAGACGAUCAGAUACCGUCGUAGUCUUAACCAUAAACUAUGCCGACUAGGGAUCGGAUGAUGUUAAUUUUUUAAUGACUCAUUCGGCGCCUUACGGG
rnacentral:rRNA from 1 species